rnacentral:rRNA from 1 species
GACGAAGGGGGCUAGCGUUGCUCGGAAUCACUGGGCGUAAAGCGCACGUAGGCGGAUUGUUAAGUCAGGGGUGAAAUCCUGGAGCUCAACUCCAGAACUGCCUUUGAUACUGGCGAUCUCGAGUCCGGGAGAGGUGAGUGGAACUGCGAGUGUAGAGGUGAAAUUCGUAGAUAUUCGCAAGAACACCAGUGGCGAAGGCGGCUCACUGGCCCGGUACUGACGCUGAGGUGCGAAAGCGUGGGGAGCAACAGGG